GUGGGGAAUUUUGGACAAUGGGCGCAAGCCUGAUCCAGCAAUGCCACGUGCAGGAAGAAGGCCUUCGGGUUGUAAACUGCUUUUGUACGGAACGAAACGGUCCUGGUUAAUACCCGGGGCUAAUGACGGUACCGUAAGAAUAAGCACCGGCUAACUACGUGCCAGCAGCCGCGGUAAUACGUAGGGUGCAAGCGUUAAUCGGAAGUACUGGGCGUAAAGCGUGCGCAGGCGGUGCUGUAAGACAGGCGUGAAAUCCCCGGGCUUAACCUGGGAAUUGCGCUUGUGACUGCAGUGCUGGAGUGCGGCAGAGGGGGAUGGAAUUCCGCGUGUAGCAGUGAAAUGCGUAGAUAUGCGGAGGAACACCGAUGGCGAAGGCAAUCCCCUGGGCCUGCACUGACGCUCAUGCACGAAAGCGUGGGGAGCAAACAGGAUUAGAUACCCCUGUAGUCC
rnacentral:rRNA from 1 species